GACGAACGCUGGCGGCGUGCCUAAUACAUGCAAGUAGAACGCUGAAGGAGGAGCUUGCUUCUCUGGAUGAGUUGCGAACGGGUGAGUAACGCGUAGGUAACCUGCCUGGUAGCGGGGGAUAACUAUUGGAAACGAUAGCUAAUACCGCAUAAUAUUGACUAUUGCAUGAUAGUCAGUUGAAAGGUGCAACUGCACCACUACCAGAUGGACCUGCGUUGUAUUAGCUAGUUGGUGGGGUAACGGCUCACCAAGGCGACGAUACAUAGCCGACCUGAGAGGGUGAUCGGCCCCACUGGGACUGAGACACGGCCCAGACUCCUACGGGAGGCAGCAGUAGGGAAUCUUCGGCAAUGGACGGAAGUCUGACCGAGCAACGCCGCGUGAGUGAAGAAGGUUUUCGGAUCGUAAAGCUCUGUUGUAAGAGAAGAACGAGUGUGAGAGUGGAAAGCUCACACUGUGACGGUAUCUUACCAGAAAGGGACGGCUAACUACGUG
rnacentral:rRNA from 1 species